rnacentral:rRNA from 1 species
AUGAACGCUGGCGGCGUGCCUAAUCCAUGCCCGUCGAGCGAACAGACGAGGAGCUUGCUCCUCUGACGUUAGCGGCGGACGGGUGAGUAACACGUGGAUAACCUACCUAUAAGACUGGGAUAACUUCGGGAAACCGGAGCUAAUACCGGAUAAUAUAUUGAACCGCAUGGUUCAAUAGUGAAAGACGGUUUUGCUGUCACUUAUAGAUGGAUCCGCGCCGCAUUAGCUAGUUGGUAAGGUAACGGCUUACCAAGGCGACGAUGCGUAGCCGACCUGAGAGGGUGAUCGGCCACACUGGAACUGAGACACGGUCCAGACUCCUACGGGAGGCAGCAGUAGGGAAUCUUCCGCAAUGGGCGAAAGCCUGACGGAGCAACGCCGCGUGAGUGAUGAAGGUCUUCGGAUCGUAAAACUCUGUUAUUAGGGAAGAACAAAUGUGUAAGUAACUAUGCACGUCUUGACGGUACCUAAUCAGAAAGCCACGGCUAACUAUGUG